ACGGGUGAGUAAUACAUCGGAACGUGCCCAGUAGUGGGGGAUAGCCCGGCGAAAGCCGGAUUAAUACCGCAUACGACCUACGGGUGAAAGCGGGGGAUCGCAAGACCUCGCGCUAUUGGAGCGGCCGAUGUCAGAUUAGCUAGUUGGUGGGGUAAAAGCCUACCAAGGCGACGAUCUGUAGCUGGUCUGAGAGGACGACCAGCCACACUGGGACUGAGACACGGCCCAGACUCCUACGGGAGGCAGCAGUGGGGAAUUUUGGACAAUGGGCGCAAGCCUGAUCCAGCCAUGCCGCGUGCGGGAAGAAGGCCUUCGGGUUGUAAACCGCUUUUGUCAGGGAAGAAACGGCCUGAUCUAAUAAAUCGGGCUAAUGACGGUACCUGAAGAAUAAGCACCGGCUAACUACGUGCCAGCAGCCGCGGUAAUACGUAGGGUGCAAGCGUUAAUCGGAAUUACUGGGCGUAAAGCGUGCGCAGGCGGCUUUGCAAGACAGAUGUGAAAUCCCCGGGCUUAACCUGGGAACUGCAUUUGUGACUGCAUGGCUAGAGUGCGGCAGAGGGGGAUGGAAUUCCGCGUGUAGCAGU
rnacentral:rRNA from 3 species